UGUACUUUACUUCUUUUACCCACCCCCCCACCCCCUUCCCUGAAAAAUAUCAAUAACUUGUGUACUUUAUUAUAUAUCCUGGCAUGUGUACAUUACAAGCCUCCCUCUGUGGAUCUAAGUUUUGCAAACAAAGGUGUAACAGUGAUGGGAGAAAUAGUAGUGGUGGACUUAUGGCCAUGUGAGCUGCUCUUUUAUAUUUCUACGUUGACAUUUUAUUAGGGAGGAGUUUGAAAGAAUCUUGAAGGGAAGUCUAGGUUGCACUGAAAUUUCCUUUAUUGUAUUGACCCAGCUUGUACCACACUAGAGAGCUGACGUGUUUAUGACUGAACUGAUUAUCGCUCACUUUCUCACUCCAUGGAAGACACUUGAUUUAGUUGCUGCUAUUUUCAUUCUUUUUUUAACUGCUGCUCAAACUUAUUUCACGGUUUUUCCUAUAAAUUGAUGCUUGAGCAGGAAUUAUGCCUUCAUGUGUCUUGAUCCAUCGUACAUUUUUUAGCACUAUGUCAGUAAUGCUUUUAAAGUAAUCUCUUUUGUUUUUCAGAUUUGCAUAGAGAAGGCACAGUUCAUUUGGAUUUGUUUGUUGUCUGAAAAUAAUCAAUCAUUCCAAUCUUGACAAAUAAAGUGCAAUUGUUUCUUUUCUCUCAUUACUACAUAUUUAUUGGUUUGAUUCCUUAAAAUCAUGUAAAUUGUUCAUUUCAAUAAAGGUGACCCUUUACUAGUAUUCCCCACUACCAUAACACAACAGGUUUGUAAUUUAAAUGAAAAUGAUAUGCAAACUGGUAAACUAGUUGUCAGGUAGCUAAUAGGUAAAAGUAUCUACAAUUAAUCAUCAAACUUUUGUUUCCUGCAAGCUCAAUUUAAAUUUUUUAGUUUUCUUUAAGGUAAGACCCGUAGAAAGAUCAAGACUAGUUAUAUAUGUUUAACUGAUCUUACAUGGUUAAGUCAUUUUGUGACAAUAUCUAUUGUCAUAUAAAAUGAAAGAGUGGAAUACAUAAUUGGAACCCCUAUUCACAAACUUUAAAUUUGUAGAAUAAAGCUAUAUUUUGUGAAUGUGCACCCUUCUGGUAUGUUGCUAUUUUAGCAGGUCUUCUUUCUGUUAAAUACCUGUGUUGUGCUUGUGCAUUUUUAAUAUUUAGUAAAGCUUUUGAGAAUAAUUGCAUUUGUGGUGACAUGAAAGUAUAUAGGCUGUUAUUUUCAAGCUUUAUUCAUCAUUUUUUACAUAACUAGAGGUCAUGUGACUGUACAUUGAGAUUUCUGCUAACUGUAUGAGCCAAACUCGAGCAUUGCCAUGUGUUUAUAUUGAGUGGCCUUGUGUUUCUUAUUUUCUUUGGUUGUAUGUCGGUAGAGUACCUUAUCUAAAACUUUCUCUUCUAUGCAAUUCGGAUAAAGCUGAAUGAAGGCGAAGCACUAAUUGGAGCAAUUUUCGAAGCCCCCAAUUUAUUGACAUGAUAGAAGUCCGGAAUUGUUAGAGCAACAGUGAUCACAACAAUAAUUACAUUUGAUCAAAGGGAUGUUGCAACUAGAAUGUAUUACGAGACCAUGGAAGGAAAUAUGAAGAGAAGACUUUAUGAUCUUGGAUCUCAAGGGAAACUCUAUUAUGAACUUGGUCCUACUUUCGAUCCUGAUGAACAUCACUCUCCAGCAGCACAUUAGUUAGCUUUGUCUUUCAAUUCUAUCAGUUGAAGAGCAAUUUUGAACGUUGAUGCUUUAGGAUUUAUGUAUUUUUGGAUCUACUUGUUAAUCUUCAGAUUACUAUUUAUAUGGAA